GCUUGUUUGUUCAGCCGCUUUCAAUCCAAGAGAUCCAUUUCAUGAUUUUGAUUUCGAGAGUUUGAUAAACUUAAUAAAGUUAUAUCCCGAUGAUUUCAACUUAGGAGAUCUGAGGGAUCUUAGACGCUACCUUGGCCUCUACAUUGUUGAUGUGAGAUAAUACAAUUAUUUCUCCUACAUAAAUAUUGUCAGUGAGCUUUCACAAAAAAUGGUGCAGACAAGUAGAAAAGGUCUUUGUUAUCCACUGGUUUAUGGACUGUAAUACCCGAUUUUAAGGACAAAACCAGAUAUACACUGUAUGUGAGUCUUAGAAGCCAAAUCUCACAUAUAGCUACAAAUAAGGGGUAAUAUCAAAAGACAAUGCACAAAUAUAUAACGUACUUAAUAUAAAAGAUGUAACCUUUGAUAGCAAACAGCGGAUAGACGACUCCAAACUUCGGGUAUUAACUUCUCUCUAUAGGGUCCAACUGACUCAUUGAUCACAAGCCUAAACUUCUCCUGAGGUUUGGGGUAAAUAGCAAGAGUGAGUCCAUGUCGAACUCCACAAGUAUAGCAACUAUAUUGUAUAGCUCCCACAAUCUCAUGAUCAAAGUGACAUAAAUAAUGUAAAGCAUUAAAUAAUAAAUAAUGAGCAUAUUUAACACACAAAAAUCAUCACCGUCGAUGCAAGAAUCCCCAAGGCCGCUCUUGACCGUGAGCACGGCUAGUAUACUAGUUUUUAACACUCUGCAGAGGUUGUACAUUUUUACCCAUGAGUCAUGAUUUACCCUUUCGCCCGAGGUGAUCAGCCUCUUAACCCACUACCAAGGAAGGUCGGCAGGGAUCACUAUGAAGCCUUUCAAAAGUUCAUCUAACAUGUUAGGGCCGCAAGGUUUCCUUUGCGCGCAGAUAUAGAUAUCCCCUUCCAAAUGGCACAAUGACAGGCAGCCUAUACACAUAAGGACAGGGGCUCGCACUAUACCCAAAACGGUUCAGCCCCUCCGCUCUUUUGGGUAACCUCUAACAAGCUAGAAAAGGUCUUCAUACUGAGCUAAAGCCAAAGCCAUUAUAGCCCUCAUGGUUGCACUGUUGUCCCGGUUAUCACUUACAUCAAGUGGCUAAAAAGUCAUUUUUAUCAUUUAUUACUUAACAUUAAUCUAGUCACAGGAUCAUGGUCACAGAAACAAAAUUCCAAAUGCUAUACUUGCCUUAGUCCAAAUGCUAUACUUGAUCCUGCUGGUCUUACUAGUUGUCCAAGGCUCUGAUCUUGAUCACUGAAGCACUCUUGUUCACCACAGAUUGCUCACCGUCUAAACUCGAUCAUCGAUCACCAACACAUAACAAUCGAAGACAAACAUACACGAAGCAAACAAGACUACAAUUAGAACAGUACACCAAUCAUAUAAAAACAGUAUAGAGAGUUCAUAAAAAGAUUCUACACAGCUCUACGAUAUCACAGACGUAAAGAUCACGAAAAUCGGAGCUAAAACGGAGAAGUUAUGAAUUUUCUAAGAUUUUAUAUAGAAAAAUAAUUAAGUAAUUAGGGUC
rnacentral:lncRNA from 1 species